CCUACGGGGGGCAGCAGUGGGGGAUAUUGCACAAUGGGGGAAACCCUGAUGCAGCGACGCCGCGUGAAGGAAGAAGGCUUUCGGGUUGUAAACUUCUUUUGUCAGGGACGAAGAAAGUGACGGUACCUGACGAAUAAGCCACGGCUAACUACGUGCCAGCAGCCGCGGUAAUACGUAGGUGGCAAGCGUUAUCCGGAAUUACUGGGUGUAAAGGGAGUGUAGGCGGGAUGGUAAGUUAGGUGUGAAAUGCGGAGGCUCAACCUCCGAGCUGCACUUAAAACUGCUGUUCUUGAGUGAAGUAGAGGUUGGCGGAAUUCCCAGUGUAGCGGUGAAAUGCGUAGAUAUUGGGAGGAACAUCAGUGGCGAAGGCGGCCAACUGGGCUUUUACUGACGCUGAGGCUCGAAAGCGUGGGGAGCAAACAGGAUUAGAUACCCCA
rnacentral:rRNA from 1 species